rnacentral:lncRNA from 1 species
UGAUGUUUAUGGGGUAGCUUGAGUUAGUAUGGCUUUCUUUAUUACGAUGAAUGUUUGUCCAUUUUCCAUUUCCAGCUCUGCUAAGAAGAUUCAAGGCAGCGACGAAUGUAAGCUUUUUUGUAUGUUUGAUGUUUUUUAACAGCGAGUUUAAGUUAUGUGCACCAACACUGUAUAGAUUUUUAACACCGUCAGGUUAAAUUGACCUAUAACAAUAGGUAACUCUAGGUAGCACGUUAUAUAUGCACUGUCAUGACAAUGUUUGAAUCCUUUAAAUUAUAGGAAUGGGCGAUGAAUAUGAGAACCUAGUAUAUAAGUUCUUUAAGUUCCAGUUUUCUCUGUACAACAGGAACCCCCAACCCAGGAGCUGGUCCAUCUGGUCGAAAGUAAGGCAGUGUAAUCCAAUUGUCUUUGGUCAUUUCUUAUUAUGCAAUGCAUGUCUUACUUGUAAUUGCAUAACUAGUAUUCCAUUUUCACAUAUUCUCAGUCUUUGAUCUGAUAUAGUCUGUGACCAUUUUCGUUGACCACAACAAUUCAACGGUUAUUAGCCUAUAGUUGGCUGAAGAAUAGGUAGCUUACCUAGAGGUAUGAGGUAUUAGACUUGUUGUGGUGUGAAGAACUGGCAAAGUAAGUUGGGUUUGGAGAGACAUAGUAUAAGAAAAUCUAAGGAAGAAAAUUUUGUUAACAAAUAUAUGAUAAUAGUACUAGGACUUUUGUUCUGUGAACAUGCUGAGAAGCUUUGUAUAGAGCACCUUGAUAUAAAUGUUGUGCCAUGAUAAAUUGCUUUCAAAAACAUUAAUUAGAUAUUGCCUACAGCUUGAAAGUAAAAAGGCAGAGCUCACCAGGGGAUCUAUCCUCCUUCCUUGUUUCUUAUAUAUCCAAAGGAGAACAGCUAAGUGUGUCUUAGCUUUAAUUUUAGGUUUACUUGUCUCUUUCGUUUGAGGUUGUUUCGAUGUCUAGUCAGAUUUUUCUUCUUCGUCGUCUUAUAUUGUGCUGUGUCCUUGACAUCUAUAGACCUCACAUGAGUAUUUUAUCUACGUAAUAUCGUGAUUGAAUCGUUCCUGAUUCUUAACAAUUUUCUUUUCCUGGUUGCAAUUCUUUUCAACAAAACAGAUAAACUACAAUCAAAGAGUUCUGGUAUAUUAUCAACUAAAGAAGAAGCAACUCGGCGCCAGCUUCUUGUUAGUCCUUUGGUUACACUUAUAGCAUUCAACUGCGGCUUAACAGUGCUACCAGCUCUCGCAG